rnacentral:lncRNA from 1 species
CUGCCAUAAUGGGAUGUGCUUCCAAUGCCAAUAAAAAGUAAGGGAACUUUCAUGAAAAGAGUUUGGAUUAAGUUUAUUUUAAUAAAAAAUCAUGUUAUAACUUUAUUUAAUUAAAAAGACUUAAAUUUUAAUGAAAACCCCUUAAAUUUUAAUAAAAAUGACAAAAGAACUUAAAUUUUAAUGAAAAAGACAUAAUUUUAAUAUUAAAAAAAAAAUCUGACGCGCGGACCCACGCGUCUUCACACUGUUUAUGAAACUUCUACACUGUUUAUGAAACUUACGACACUAUUUAUGAAACUUAUUGCACUAUUUAUGAAAACUUACGACACUAUUUAUGAAACUUACAACAUUGUUUAUGAAACUUAACGGUAUUACAUUUUUUUUCUCCUCUUCUUGAAAGUUCCCAAUAAACUUUCUUCAUCAGAAACUUUCCUCUAUUGGAUCAGACCAAUCAAAAGAAGUCAUCAUCCUCCCUAGAUCCACUUUUUUAUGCAUGUCCACUCAUCUGUACCAAAAUUCACCAACGGAACUGAGAGACGAAAUUGUUUGCAUCUUUUGGAUACAGUACCCACUCGAGUGAGGUCUUUGAAAUGGAGGAAGGAAAAAAUACGAUGAACAACUUCCUCCGGAAGAUCACUAAAUUUGUCCAUUCCACUUUCAGAGCAAGUUCCUUCAAAUUCACAACUUGUAGAUGCCUAGAGCUUACGCUUGCGCGCCAUCGUAGUGACUCCUCAAGGCGGUGGUCAGAUCCAAUAGAGAAAAAUAGGAUGCCCUUCCCAAACACCUAAUCAAAUUCUCACAUAGGCAUAUCAUCAAACACUUUCCAGCCACAACGACAAUCAACUAAUUUCAAAAACCCUGAGCAAAAUCAACAUGCUUUUGGCAAUGAAAAGUGUAGAAUUAGACAGAAAUUCGAAGUUGAAAUCCAAGUUUUCAGAAAAUUGGAUGUUCUGCAAACAAAUCACUUACAGGUGGUAAGGUAGGGUGGUACGCACCCCAGCACAAGUUGGGUUUGUUAGGUUUUUUUUUUCUUUUCGUCUUUUGUCCUUAUUAUUAAAUAAAAUUACUGGGUGGUUUUUUUUUAUUAAAAUGUAAAGAUUUGAGGUACUUUUCAUUAGUUUUCCCAAAAAGUAACCCAUCCAAUUGUAUUUAACAUCCAAAAAACUGCCAAAUAAAAUGUGUCCCAAGCCGAAAUAUCACAAGUCCCACCUUGUCUCGGAUCAUCGCAAGGAAAACUAUAACCAAAUUUUUUUUAUCUGCCAUUAACUUGGAACCACGUGCAUCUAAAGUACUUUUUACUAAUAUCAAUGUAGUUGUAUGUAAACCUAGAGCAAUAGCAUGAUGAAUCAAGAAAUCUUCAGGUCCUAUUGUUAAGAAUAGUGAAUUACUAUUCUCAUUAA